rnacentral:tRNA from 1 species
GGAGAGGUACCGAAGCGGCCAUAGCGGCGCUGACUCGAAAUCAGAUGAUCAGAUUAUAUCCUGACACAUGGGAUCGAAUUCCAUCCUCAUUA